AAGAAAGAUGAUUGAACUGCUAACUCGACACCCCGUGCCUAACAGCACGGCUUUCUUA
rnacentral:tRNA from 1 species